rnacentral:rRNA from 1 species
UACGAAGGGGGCUAGCGUUGUUCGGAAUUACUGGGCGUAAAGGGCGCGUAGGCGGUGUGUCAAGUCAGGCGUGAAAGCCCCGGGCUCAACCUGGGAACCGCGCUUGAGACUGGCACGCUCGAGUCCGGGAGAGGAUGGUGGAAUUCCCGAGUGUAGAGGUGAAAUUCGUAGAUAUUGGGAAGAACACCGAUGGCGAAGGCAGCCAUCUGGACCGGCACUGACGCUGAGGCGGCGAA